rnacentral:piRNA from 1 species
UCGAGUGGGGUCCAGUGGCUUCACACAGCCAG